AUUGAACGCUGGCGGCAGGCUUAACACAUGCAAGUCGAGCGGAUGAAGGGAGCUUGCUCCUGGUUUUCGCGUCGGAAGGGUGAGUAAUGCCUAGGAAUCUGCCUGCUAGUGGGGGGUGACGUCUGGAAGCGGGCGCUACUACUGCAUAAGUCCUGCGGGUGCAAGUGGGGGAUCUUCGGAACUCUCGCUCUCAGAUGGGCCUAGGUGGGGUUAGUUAGUUGGUGGGGUAAACGCCUACCUAGUCGACGAUCCGUAAGUGGUCUGUGAGGAUGAUCGGUCACACGGGAAGUGGGACACGGACCAGACUCCUACGGGAGGCAGCAGAGGGGAAUAUUGGACAGUAGGCGAAAGCCUUGUCCAAUCAUGCCGCGUGUGUUAAAGAAAUCUCCGGAGUGUAAAGCACUUUUAGUUGGGAUAAAGGGCAGUAAGUUAAGACCUUGCUGUUUUGACGGUACCAACAGAAGAAGCACCGGCUAACUUCGUG
rnacentral:rRNA from 1 species